AUUGGAAUGGGCUGCCCAGGGGAGGAUUUGGGUCACUGUCCCUUGAGGUGUUCAAGAAAUGUGUAGAUGAGGCACUGAAGGACAUGGUUUAGUGGACAUGAUAAUGAGUUGACGGUUGAAUCAGAUGAUAUUAGAGAUCUUUUCCAGCCUUAAUGAUUGUGUGAUUCUGUGAAAAAGUUUCCGAAAAGUAAACAUGGCAUUGCUGCACAUGGCACCUUUCCACUGAAGUUUGUUCAACUGACAAUGAAAAGAUGAUGAUCCUUGUUUUGAACAGAACAAAUCAUGAGCAAUCAAGAAAAGUUGCCGUAUUUUCAUAACACAUGAAGUGCAUAAUGCACUAAUUGCUUUAAUUUUCAGAUUUUUUUUGUUUUUUCAGAAAGAUGUUGAUGCUUUCUUCUGGCAGUAGUCCAAGACAACCUAGUUUACUCAGAAACUGACAGUUUUAAUUUGUAUAGACAAGUGGAUCAUAAUAACGUAUUUUCAGAUGAAUACAUGGUCAUGAUUAUAAUUGGUUGAUGUCAUUCACAGAAAAGCCUCUGAGUGUCAGUGCUUUAAUGAUUAGGAAGAAGCAUUAAAGAUAAUGAAAACAUCUUCUAGUGAGCCUGGCACUGGUCUAAGGAGCCUGUCAUCUUAUCUGGUUUCCAGUAAUCUCUUUGAAGACAAAUGAAGACAAAUACCAUUCUUCUGUUUGGACUAUCUGAACUGGCUGAUGUACAGUUAUAUUGGAAAUCAGAAGUUCAUUGUGAUAAAAGGUUGAAAGAUGCAUAUACCGACAGGAAACUGAAACAUAAGCUCCUUUAUGAAGAACUGCUUUGUUGAAAAUGCUAAAAGAUAGAUUGCUAGAUUCAAAUGAAGGGACUUCCCUGAAGAAAUUCUGCCUUUCAAGGCCUAUUAAAUAUGAUUGGGCUCAAUGAUAAAUUAUGAUACAUGUAUGUACAUGUACAAAUACAUUUAUGCAUAUAUCAACAUGUAUAUAUAUAUAUUAUGUCUAUGUUUAUAUUUGUACGAAAAUAUAAGGGCUGCU
ensembl:lncRNA